rnacentral:lncRNA from 1 species
AGAAGAUACAUUAAUGUGCCAUCAGUUUCUAACUUCUUUGAAAAUAGUGUUUUUUUUUUAAGCCAAUUGUAAAUAGUAUGCCUAUUCUAGAUAAAAGUAAUUUUAAGUUAAACUGUACAACAUAGCUUGAAAGUAUAGAGACUUUGUAAUACUUUACAAGUGGCCUCUGCUAAAAAUAUCUUAUCCAUAUAAUUAUUCUUCUAUUCUUUGCAUGCCCAUUUUGUGUGUUGGUUGUUAGCUUAAAGUUUGUUUUAAUGUUAACUUUUGGGUGCCAGCUCAUCAGGCAAGAAUAUUUUCCCUCAGACGUC